rnacentral:lncRNA from 12 species
CCCCCCCCCCCCCCCCCCCCCCCCCCCCCCCCCCCCCCCCCCCCCCCCCCCCCCCCCUGAGGGGCCCCGGCUCCGAACGCGCUUUUCCCUCAGAACCCGCCCGGUUCCCGGCUCUGUGCUGCUGGCGAGGGCAAAGGAGUCUUUGUCCCACUUGGCUCUCUCAAGGGAAGGGAUGGGAUGAAUGCUGGGACAAACCCUGGACUAUUACAGUGGUUAAAAUCUUGGAAUCACAGAUUUUAGAUUGGAAAAGACUUUUAAGGUUAUUGAGUCCCACCAGUCCCAGGGAUCCAUGACCAACUCCUGGAGGAUGCUCCACUCUCUUUCACAACUGAGAUUUCUUCCAAGUUUCAGAACCUGUGUUAUUCUGGUGAUCAGUUUGAAGAGAGAAUUAAUUAAAUUGGAUUUCUAGAAUGAAUUCCACAAUACCCAGGGAAGUCUGAUAUUUGUAAUCAGCUAUGGAACUGUUGCUAGGACACUAGAAUUGUUGAUUUUUUGGAAAAAAGAUCAAAUAUUUGCCUGUCUAAAGCUAUGAAUCCAAGAUAUACAAAAGUUUAGCUGGUCCUGUGAACAAUUUUUUAGUGCUUUCAUUUAUAACGUAUUAACUCCUGACUCAGAAAACAUAUGGAAAAGCCCACAAGAAUCCACUACUACAUAUGUAAGAGAUAUUCCUAAAGAGAAACAAAUUAUAGCUGAUGAAUUGUUAAUUCCAUGACCUUUUUCCUCUGCUGCCCUAUCUGAGCAGCAAGGACACACAGAAGACAAUUAAUAUCUGUUAAGACUGUUAGAUUAAGUUUGCACAUCUGACAGUAAUACAUCAUCUCCUACAACAUAAAAAGAUUUAUAACAUUGAAAUAUAAAGGACUUGGUGAUGGAGCUUGCCAUUAGCCCACCUUAGCCAGAACAACUGCACCAAAGUUCAGUGUUCACCCUCAGUUUUACCAAGUUCUUUUUCUCAGUCUCUUACCUGUGGCCC